CGCUCGUAGUAGAAGUUCGGCUCUUACAGGAGCCCAGUUGGAAUCCUGAAGGUGGUCGAAUGCCAUAGAAACUCGGAUGGAGUCUGAUUACCGUAGAAACCUCAUUGUCGAAGAAGCUUGGAUAUUGAUGAAGUCCAGAAGGAGUUUGGAGAAUAGUUGAUCACCAUAGAAGGUCGGCCGACAGUGAGGCCUAGAGAGCCUUCCGAGCGGCUCGGUAGAUGGAUGGAGAAGCUCAUUGUCGGGGAAGUCCGGAAGAAGUUUGAAGUAGGGUCAUCCACGGUCGGAAGAAGUCCGAAAGGGAUUCGGAGAAUAGUUGAUUACUAUAGAAGGUCGGUUGGCGGUGAGGCCCAGAGAGCUUUUGGGGUGGUCCGGUAAAUGAAUACAGAAGUUCAUUAUCGGAGAAGCUCGGACGGUCAAGGGGGUUCGGAGAGAUUCCACACACAAGGUCGG
rnacentral:lncRNA from 1 species